rnacentral:rRNA from 1 species
GACGAACGCUGGCGGCGUGCUUAACACAUGCAAGUCGAACGGAAAGGCCCGGCUUUUGUGGGGUGCUCGAGUGGCGAACGGGUGAGUAACACGUGAGUAACCUGCCCUUGACUUUGGGGUAACUUCAGGAAACUGGGGCUAAUACCGGAUAGGAUCUCCUGCUGCAUGGUGGGGGUUGGAAAGUUUCGGCGGUUGUGGAUGGACUGGCGGGUUAUCAGCUAGUUGGGGGGGUAGUGGCUUACCAAGGCUUUGACGGGUAGCCGGCCUGAGAGGGUGACCGGCCACCUUGGGACUGAGAUACGGAGCAGACUGCUACGGGAGGCAGCAGUCGGGAGUAUUGCACAAUGGGCGGACGCCUGAUGCAGCAACGCCGCGUGCGGGAUGACGGCCUUCGGGUUGUAAACCGAUUUCGACUGUGACGAAGCGUGCGUGACGGUAAUGGGUAAAGAAGCACCGGCUAACUACGUG